rnacentral:rRNA from 1 species
AUGUAUGAAAUAUUUAGCAAACUGCUUGAGCACCAGCAGCAAUCAAAGGGUGCUGCUGAGCCAGUUAAGCAUACACUUGAGCAAAAUCCAGUCAGACUAUCAGGACCUGGUGACUACAUCAGUUGGGCACGCCAUGCCAAAUUGAUUUUGAGUGCCAAUGAGUAUGAUUAUUUACUUGUUGGCAAUGAAGAUAGUUUGGAGAAAGGCAGUGCGGGCAGGAAACAAAUCAAUGAUAAAGUACUAGUAUGGCUGUUGGGAAGUAUGGAACCAACAAUUAGAGAACAAGUGGAAGGCAUGGACACUGUUUGUGAGGUCUGGUCAUCUUUGAAGAAACAAUUUGCAGGGAAAACAAAUAAAAUGCAAGCCACCCGUAUCAUGCAUGAGUUAACUAAUUUGAAGCAGCGCUCAAGAUCUGUAACAGAGUAUGCAGGUGAAGUAAAAAAAUUAUACAGAGACUUGCAUUAUCAUCACCCUUUUGAACCUGUUCACAAGGAUGACUUGGCAAUUCAUCAUGUGUGA